UUUUUUUUUUUGGUUUACAGGUAAGUUAGGAUUUUUUUUUCUUUUUUGAAUAAUUGAGUAAUUGUUCAUACACAUAAGUCUCAUUUACAUAAUUAAAAAGAUUACCACGUAGUGAAACGGUUGUGGCAUAUAAACAUCAUGACACAUAUUCCUUAAUAUGAUCAAUAGAAAAAGGUUAAUCACCAUGAAUGACAUUCAUGAGUUGAAUGAGUCAACCCCACCCUAACAAAUUUUUACGCAUAUAUAUACCAGUGGGUUAGAAUGAAUAGUAACCCAACGGAGUGUAAAGAUACAACCUUGCCACCAAGAUUAAGACAAACAACUUCACCAUCUUGAAAAACAUGUCCCAAAUCACAAAAGCACAUAACAUUAACUAUUAAUUUGUAAAUGUAUUCAUAGAUCUAAAAGCAGAAGAGCUCUCUUAGGGUUUUCUCUCUAGCGUUUUUUUAGCAACCAGACUUUUUUCUCUUCCCUGUAACGAUGGUGGACGAGGUUCCACGUUGUCUCUAAUGAUUUUUUUUAAGAGUUUGGAACCCAACCAAGCUGGGAGGCUCAGGCCUACGCCCGGUUCCAAUUAUUUUAUUGAAGGAAAAAAAAAAAGUACAUGAGGGCAACUCCAACCAUUAGUCCUAUAAUUGAGUCUUAUAUCUAUUAUAGGACCUCUUAUGGCACUAUUCAUAUAAAACUCAUUUUUUCAUCUCCAACAAUGAGUUUUAUGGUCCUAUAUUCACUUUAGUUGAUUAAAAUAAGUUUUGAGUACUAUGCUUAUGAAAUAAAUAUUAAGUAAUAUGUUAACCUUAUUAAAUAAAUAAAAAUCAUCAUUUUUAUUUUUAUCACAAUUUUAAAAAUAAUAGCUUGGCACCGUCGGUGGUGACAGUGAUCCAAGCUUCGCAAAGAAUAGUUUCUUCAAUAUUGUGCCUCCAUGAAUCUUUUCUUUUGCUCAUUUUUCUCUUUAAAUAAUUGAAGAAAGAGAUAGUGAAUAAAUUGAAAAUGUGCAAGGAGAAGAUUAUAUUUUGGUGUGAAGAAUUUGUGAGAUCUUUGGUUCCUAUUUAUAGACUUGCUUCAAAAAAAAAUUGCCCAACGGAUCUCUUCAUUUUUCAAAAUAUUUCUGCUAUUUUUUUAUUGUUUUUUGAGGUCAAAAUGAAAUUAAUCAGGUUGAACUUAAUGGGCCAUUGAUAUUUUGAUCACAUAUAAUCUGGACCAUCAGUUUUUUGUUACUAGCAUUGGAGUUUCCCAAAGGUCACAAGGAGACAGCAUUGAAGACUUGGGCCCACAACUGUUUGAAAUUGGAAACAGCAGCGCAUAGACGCGUGUUCCCCUCACCCCGCGUUGCCACAGCCCGCGUGUUCCCACCAUGUCUCUUUUAACGUGUCGCUUCUUUAUCCAUCACGGACCCAACCCAAUUCAGUGGGCCCCGAGUUCUGGUCUUAGAAAUGUCUCAAAUAUGAGACUGAGAAUAGGAUUUGGUCUCAUAAUUCCAAAACCAAAACCUCUAUUUUUAGCCCGUUGGAGAUGAGAAGUCUCAUUAUGAGACCAAGACUGGGUUUUAAACCCAUUGUUGGACUUGCCCUGAGAGGGGGAGAUAUACCAAAACCCCUCUCGGAAAAAGAAGAAUAACCCUAAAACCUGAGAUCUACUAAGGAUAAUUAACAACGAAAAACAAAUUCGUUGUUGCUGCCCAAAGAGUCACAAACAUAAAGACCAUUAAAAGAUCACAAACUAAAACGAUAGUUGAGAAAGUCUGCUAGAUCACAUGAAUAAGCUGCAUUGCACAAGGUGGACAUGAAUCCCACCAAUGAACUCUUGUGUUAUCCGCACCAAAAUUAGCUAAAUAGUCAGCAACGUUGUUACCCUCCCGAUAAAUAUGAGAUACUUUUACAGUCAUAGUAGCAAGAAUAAACCGACAGUUAAAAUCAUUCAGUAGUGAAACGCCAUGGUACAUCUACUUUAAAAGAAGAAAGAAAAUGAAUCACUAAAGUAGAGUCACUUUCUGAUAUGGGUGUAUCCUAGCCUUUUAGGGAUUAGCCGAUUCCUUCUCCAAGUUAGUUAAGGAAACAGCUUUUCUAGCUUGUUAGAGGAAUAGUUUUCUAACUUAGUUUGGUAUUAGUUGUCUAAUUUAGUUAGGGAGUACUCUCCAAGUUAGAUAAGGAUUUAUAGAGAUUUAGACUCUAUAAAUAGAGUUGUCUAGCUUAGUUCUAGAUAGAAGAGUGAAACAGAGACAACAUCUGUUUAGACCAGGGUGAAACAGAGACAACAUCUGUUUAGACAAGAAAGAGAGGGAAACAGAGAGAUAGUCUUGUUUAGAGUUAUUAUUAGGGAAGGAUUCAGACAAUAAACAUUGUACCUUUGCACAAUAAUAAGAGGAGAAUACAUUUUCUUCAAACCUACUUUCCUUGUGUGUUUCAGUACUAGUAAUAAUUCCGCUAUUAGUAGUAUCCGCCUAGUAAUUUGAAUCAAGUUGGUAUCAAGAGCGCAUCGAUUCUGCGAGGGGGUUCCUGUGGUUUAUGGUCCUUACUCGAUCACAAUACAGAAAGCUAGGCAAGGUUCUUGUUUCUUGGGAAGAAACUAGGAGGACAAGAGAAAAGAGGAUGGGUGACGAAAGAACAGACAAAGAGAGACUUGAUGCGGUAGAGAAGCAGUUGGCGUCGAUAAGUUCUACUCUUGCAGAACUGGCCAAUUUCAUCAAACAGGAGAAGAAAGUCAAACCUUUGGAGAAGUCGAAGAACAAAACUUCUGAUUCAGAUGACGAAAGGGAUGAAGCAGAUUCGGAUGAGGAAACAGACGACACCAGCAAAACUUCGCAUCAAGGAGGCAAGGGUUCUUUUCGGAAUCUGAAGAUCGAUUUCAAAGUUGAAAUCCCUAUGUAUGACGGAAGCGUCAACGUAGAGAAACUAGACGAUUGGAUUGAGCGUCUAGAGACUUAUUUUACUCUUUAUAACUACUCAUCACAGGAGAAGAUUAUCUUUGCAACUCUAAAACUAUCGGCUCAUGCAUUGACUUGGUGGAAGUCCUAUCAGAAAAAUAGUGACGGAGAGGCAAUGUCGUGGAAGAAGUUCAAGGAGUUGCUUAGGAAGCAGUUCUAUCCAGUCGGUUUUCUAGAAGAAAGAUGGUGCAAGUGGUACAACUUGCGUCACGAAUUCAAUCAAUCCGUACAAGAAUACACCACCGAAUUCCAGAAUCAAGCUAUGGUUUUGGAUAUUUCAUUGAAGGAGUAUUCUGUGUUCAUGAAAUAUGUGGCGGGUCUGAGUGAGUAUAUCCAGAAGGAGUUGAAAUUAUUCACAGUGGAAACUAUUGCAGAAGCCAGUGUGAAAGCCAUUGCCAUUGAGGGCAAAUUUAAGAAGAAUGUAACAGAAAGAGAUGGAAAGCAAUCUGUGGGUAAGUCCAAUGGUUCCUCUGUCAAAAAGAAAGAGCAUGAGGGUGGUGAGUCUGAUGGGAAAGAAUGUUUGGUUUGCAGUCACUGUGAAGGAACAGGCCAUGUGGUGGAUAAGUGUUGGGUGAAAUAUCCUCAUCUUAAACCAAGAGGGUUAAGGCAAAAGGAGGAGAAAAAGAAAGUCGCUUUGACCACACAGGAGCCAAAGGAAGUACCAGGGAUGACAAAACCAAAUGCAAAGCUCAAUCUUAUGGCAAGAAAUAAGCAGCCUGUAACGGAUGAAGCAGACCCCAGGGAGCAGCUCUUUGUUGUUAAGUUACAGGUGAAGACCAGUUUGGUUGAUGCCAUUGUGGAUCCGGGUAGUCAGAUGAAUCCUAUCUCGGAAGCCUUGGUUCAGAAGCUGGGUCUCAAUACAGUCAGACAUCUGAAGCCAUAUUUGUUGGGAUGGAUCCAAAAGGAAGCAGGCGGGAUGAGUAUUACCAGCCAAUGCACAUUUAAGUUUGCGCUUCAUGAGUCUUACAUCGAUGAAGUGACAUGUGAUGUGGUGCCAUUGGAUGUUUGUCAAGUUAUACUAGGUAAUCCCUAUUUGUGGGAUAGAUAUGCUAUCUAUGACAGAAGAGCCCAGAUGUAUACGUUCACAAAGGAUGAACAACAGUUUGUUAUUCGAGCGAUUUCCCUGCCACAAGAGGCAAGCUUGGUAACAGUGAUGCGGGUUAAAAGAUUAGUCAAUGCUUGUAGGAAAUUUGUCUUGUUGACACGUCCACAUGAAGGGCACUCAAGUCAAGAUAUUGAGAAGUCAAAAUUGAAGAAGUCACAAGCAAAGUACAAGGCCAGACAAGAUAAACAUCGAGUACCUUGUUACUUUGGUAUUAGCGACUUAGUAUGGUUAAGGCUGAGUAAAGAGCGCCUUAAAGAGGAUCCAUUGCUAGAAGAUUGCAUUUUGGAGCAGCAAGUGGCUACGACACGUCGAGGGGAGUAAACAGUGUUCUGCAUUGGGCGUGCAGGUUAGGUUCCAAGAAAAGCUAAGUGGUUCAGCAAAGACAAGGGAACUCUCGAGUUUUCUAAUCUCUAGUUUUAACUUAAACGAGAGUUUAAGUUCCUGAAAGGGGGAACCAUGAUACGGGUGUAUCCUAGCCUUUUAGGGAUUAGCCGAUUCCUUCUCCAAGUUAGUUAAGGAAACAACUUUUCUAGCUUGUUAGAGGAAUAGUUUUCCAACUUAGUUUGGGAUUAGUUGUCUAACUUAGUUAGGGAGUACUCUCCAAGUUAGAUAAGGAUUUAUAGAGAUUUAGACUAUAUAAAUAGAGGUGUCUAGCUUAGUUCUAGAUAGAAGAGUGAAACAGAGACAACAUCUGUUUAGACUAGGGUGAAACACAUACAACAUCUGUUUAGACCAGAAAGAGAGGGAAACAGAGAGAUAGUCCUGUUUAGAGUUAUUGUGAGGGAAGGAUUCAGACAAUAAACAUUGUACCUUUGCACAAUAAUAAGAGGAGAAUACAUUUUCUUCAAACCUACUUUCCUUGUGUGUUUCAGUACUAUUAAUAAUUCUGUUAUUAGUAGUAUCCACCUAGUAAUUUGUAUCACUUUCAAUCCAAAGAGAAUGCCAACCUCCUUGCGAAAUGACCGCCUGUAACUCAACUUCCAAUGCAAUAGCAAGGAUAAGGUGACGUUUGACGGCAGAAGUGUUGCUGCAAUCUCAUUAUGCAGUGGGGAGGCUACUCUCCAGAAGAAAACUAAUUUCCUGAGCUUUGAUGGGGAAGCUUUAUUCACUCUGCGUUCUUGAUUGUCUAUGUAACACUACCAGGACAAGCACUUUCGUCGGCCUGUUAGCUUAAUUCGCCGGCUAAGAUCUUAGCCGACGAAGGCUCGUUGGUUAAGAUUUCGUCGGGAAAAGGUAGUCGGCGAUGACUUUAGCCGACGAAACAAGAAGACGUCGUCGGCUAUAGUCCCAGAGUUUAGCCGACGAAAAACAAGUCGUCGUCUUUUUUCCCAGACUUUAGCCGACGAAGAAAUUAGAUAGUCGUCGGCUUUUUUCCCAGACUUUAGCCAACGAAGAAAUUAUAUAGUCGUUGGCUAAAGUGUGUAAUAAAAAAUUAAAAAAAUAACUAAAGCCGACGAAAUAUAAUCUGUUUCGUCGGCUUUAGGAGGGUUUAGCCGACAAAACGGGCCGUAAUUCGUCGGCUAAACCUUAUUAAAAAAAAUUAAAAAUACUAUAGCCGACAAAUAUUUUACAUGUUUCGUCGGCUAUAAGUCCAUUUCAGUAAAAAAAAAAACGACGAAAUUUCUAAAUUAACCAUUCCAAGCAAGCUGCAAAAUACACCAAAANNNNNNNNNNNNNNNNNNNNAGGUAGCGGUAUAGGCGUAGGCAUGGGCGGAGCCGGAAGUCCCUGAAGCUGGGCAGCUGUAAACUCCUGCAUGUACUGAAGCAUCUGCCGCUGCUGGGCCUGCUGGAUGGCAUAUACCUCAGCAGUAUAGGCUGUCUGCGCGGCAUUAUAGGCAGCCUGAGCAGCUUGUUGUUUCCGUAGUCUCUGAACUUCUGACUCUAGCUGAGUCGUCCUGCUGGUAGUCGAGGUCCUCCUACUGGUCGAGGCUGCCUUUCGUUGAAAUCCUGGAGUGGUCUUCAGGACCCUCUCACCCUUCUUUCCUAGACCCCGGCAGUAGAAGUUGUUUGCUCGCGGUGGGAAAGCUGUGCCCAUGAUCCUCGCCCCAACCCUUGGAUCUAAAGUGUCGAUCCGGGACAUGGCUUCGGACAUCUCUUCCUCCUGCGUGUCCGGCCAUGUCUCCCUCACUAUAGUACUCAUCACCUCGUCACUAGCCUCCCUCACAUUCGCCUAAUUGGAUAGGAAAAAAUAAUUAAUUAACAUUUUGACAUAUAUAUAAGUAAAAUUAAAAAUUUAAAAUUUAAAAACAUAAGAUGACUUACAAUAUCCUCCUGGGCGUCAUGAUAUGCCUUCUCGUACGUAUAGACGUACUGGUUGACUUCUGGAUGUUCCCUGGCCACCUCGUCCAUGGAGACAGCGAACGGUCUAGAACCGGCAUGAUGGUUCUUUGUGUUGCGUUGCCGGUUCUGAGCGUUCGCUCGGGAAACAGCCUUCAAAGAAAAAAAUAAACUAUUAGUAAAAUAUUUAAAACCGCACGUACUUAAUGACAAAUUAACUAAUUAAUUUUUUUAAAUACCUGUUUACGAGGGUUGUUGAAUUCUGAUGUCAGAAGCCAACGCCACUCGUAUUCCCUAUACUGGAACUCAGCAGGGGUACCAUAACGUGCGUUCCCGUGCGUAGUCCAGUGGGUCCGCAACUCGUUCUUCCACUCCUUGUAAUAUCACAUACAAUUUUAUUUUUUCAUUAACUUCCCAACGUACCUUCCCCCAUGCACAACGUCCGCCCAGCUGCUCUUCAGGUGCUCGGGAACCUUAAACCACACCUGCAUUUAACCGUUUAUUAGUUUAGUUUUUUGAGAAAUCAACAAUGUAAUACAUAAUAUUAUUGAGGCAUUUUGUAACUCACCGACAUCGCGUUGUGGACCAUGUCCUUAACCUCCUGCGGAACUCUAUCCCUAAUGAGCGCUCCCACGCGGCCAGAGUACAUCCUCGACUUCCCACCCGAUAUUAUGUCGUCAUCCCCGUCAGUACGAAUGACGAUCCUCCCUCAGGUACUGACGAUCUUCUCGAAAGCCUUUCUUGUGACGGGGCCUCUCUUCUUCUUUGCCGGUUUCGCUCCGACGGUGCCUAUCACAUCAUAAACCAAAUUGAUUAUUAAAAUCAGAGACCCUUUAUUAUUAAUUAUAAGAAAACAAAUCAUUCAUCUUUCAUUACCUGAGGGCGAUGCGGCGAACGCAACGGAUUCCGUCUCUGUCACUGAUGAUGAUACCCUCGCAGAAAUAAGAGGCGUAUCAAAAGGCACGAACCGGUACGCUGCUGAUGGAGCCACUGGCGGGGGUAGUGGAUAAAUCGGCGUCCCUGAGCCAUCGACUGCAGGUAAGGCCAGUAUCAUCCGUGGAAAGAACAGAUGAGGCGGCGGCAUCUGUACCCCAGAUGACCCACUAUCCGAAGAAGUAGGACCUGGAGUGGGCGCCCGGUGUAUCUUAGGCAUACGGGGUGCAGACACCUUCGUCUGGGUCUGAGGCCACAACUGCCUCGAGGAAUGAAGGACGCCCCGCUGCCUCGAUGAAGGGGGCACCUCCGGCUGCCUCUGCGCCGUCUCCAGAAGGGUCGCACGUCUGGCUGUCAUGGGGCCCUGAAACGACGUUUGAGGGUUGCUAGAGGUUCCCUCAGACAAUUCGGACCUUUGGCCCUUCGAACCCUUCGCCGAUCUAAAAUUACCGCUCAUCCUGUUUAAAAUAUUAAUUUGAAUCAAGACUGAGGAAAAGUGACAGAGCUAGAAAUUUGUCAUAGGGGGGUUCAUAUAUGAAGUGCCGAUCAUUAUCGGAAAAAAAAAAAUGUACCGAUCAUUCGGUCGUAUAACUCAAUUACUAUAUCAUAAGUUAAAAUUGAAAAUAUAAUAACAUAAUACUAAUAUAAAGUUCUUAAACACUGGAAUCAAUAAUGCAACAAUCAUCUCGUGUAUAAAAAAAACUAGAGGUACUCAAAUAAUGACAAUUUCACUACACAACCAUGCACUAAUCCAAUAACAAAACGGCAAUGCAUUUAUACGAAUUCAAAAACGCCGUAAUCAAAUCAAACCCCCCAUAAAUAUAUUGAGGAAACUCAACUACACAAAAUAUAUCUUAAUCAUUCUUCUUGUCUCCCUUCCAGUUUCUAACAUCAAACUUCAUCAUCUCUUUAUCAAACACACUAAGAAGUUUGGACAUUAACAGCAAUAACAACAAUAACAACGGCUGCUAUUCAACGCCUUCCAACUAAAACAAUAUCCUCCGAUCAUCCAACUUUUCAAAUUCUCAACUCUGCAAUCCAAUAUACCAAACAACCAAAAUCAAGAUCAAAGAUUCACAAGCGACCGGAAAUCAUCAAGAAACACCAAAACGCCACCACUGCCAACAAAAUCUCAUAUAAUGAAGGCAAAUAAAGCGAGAAAGGGGACUCACUUUAGGCUUAAAGGAGGUAAACAGUAGUGGACUGGAGGGCGUGGAGGCGGAGCAGGCGAGCAGCAGAGGGCGACCGGGAGAGGGAGAGGGAGAGGGCGGCGACCGGGAGAGGGAGAUUGGACUUUGCUAGGAGGCGGUGGAGGCUGUCGAGCAUAGCGCUGGGAUAUGGGGAGGCGGGCGAGGAGGUGGAGGUGGUGUUUAGGGUUUAGUCUCGCAGACUAGGGAGCGCAGCGCUGGGAUAUACCCGACAACUUUAGCCGACGAAAUAAAUAUUUCAUCGGCUAAAGCUAUAAAAUCUCGUCGGCUAAGACGAAACUCAUCGGCUAAACGUUGAAACUCAUCGGCUAAACCUUUCAAAUUCGUCGGCUAAACCCUUGAAAUUCGUCGGCUAAAUGUUGAAAUUCGUCGGCUAAAACUUUGAAAUUCGUCGGCUAAAGUACUUUUUAUACAUUCGGCAAAUUGUGAUUGUGAUGAUCAAACUUGAGAAACGGAAAUACGACCGUCAGAUCUGACCAUCAUGAUAAAAUACAUGUAUGGGAAAAAAUUCAACUUGAUCCGACAAGGUUAAAGGCUCAAUCCGGACGGUCAAUCCGUUAAGUCAAAACCCUAAACGCAAGGAAAAGGUCAUUGGACCGUUUAAAUUACGUAUUUUGGCCGGACCUUCAACUGAAAAUAGUUUUAAACCGAUGAGACCCAACAAGUCAUAUAAAAAUUUUACGGAAAAUAACCACCAAAGAUAGGGCUACCCAUAGGGAUAAAGAAUGGAAAAUUGCAUUGACCGCAACUAUCGGCACCGAGACUUUACCGGAAUACCAUGAUUUUUCAACCGUAGACGUAUUUCACCAUUCUGGUCAUAUCUUAUUUCAUUACUUUUUUGUGUUUAAAGGUUCUACGUAUAUUUUGUUUUCGAAACGGAACAUUUAUUUAAACACUUGGUAAACAAGUUAUACCACAUUAGUAGGCAUGUUAUGAUUGUGAUGAUCAAACUUGAGAAACGAAAAAUCCGACCGUCAUAUCUGACCAUCAUGAUAAAAUACAUGUAUGGGAAAAAAUUCAACUUGAUCCGACAAGGUUAAAGGCUCGAUCCGGACGGUCAAUCCCGUAAGUCAAACCCCUAAACGCACGGAAAAGGUCAAUGGACCGUCUAAAUUACGUAUUUUGGCCAGACCUUCAACUGAAAAUAGUUUCAAACCGAUGAGACCCUACAAGUCAUAUAAAAAUUUUAGGGUUUAGUGUUUAGCCGACGAAAUAUUAGGGUAUUCGUCGACUAACCUCAUCUUAGCCGACGAAUUAUGGUAUAUUUCGUCGGCUAAGAUUGUUUAAGCCGACGAAUUAUGGUUUAUUUCGUCGGCUAAAGUGUAAAAAAUACAUUAAAAAAACAGAAGGUUUAAACCAUACUAACUUCAUGUUUAUAUAUCACCAAAAUUCAUAUAAAAUAACAGAAAUAUGAAUUCAACAUAUAUAAACUAUAAAAGUUAUACAUUCUUUUUUAUUACAAAUUAAUGUAAUCGGAAUUAAAACUAAGGCUCGUAAUCGGAAUCAUCCGAUGAGUCUUCUUCGGUGUCAGAAUUAAUUUCUGGUAAUCUAUGCAUUUCCUCAUCGCCAGAGUCUUCGUCGGUUUCUUGAUUUGGAUCAACAUCAAUAAGCCUUGGCUCUUCAUCACGAAUUCGCACCGAACGACCCGCUUUAAAAUUACUAAGGCGAACGGUAGAGGAGUUAGGAAUACCUAUUGCGCUGGGCUCUUGAUACGCAACAUCUUCUUCCUCGUCUUCGGCCUCUCCAAGUGUAGCCGCCUGAUAAAUAUUUCGAGGGUGCAAAAGGUUGACUACUUUCCACACGUCACCCUUAGCAAGGUCAUCAAGAUAAAAUAUUUGUUUUACCGAUGUGACAAAAACGAACGGGUCAUCUUCGUAACAACUUGUAGCAGUGUUCACCAAUAAUAUUCCAUACUGAUCGGUCUUCAUGCUCUGCGGCCUAGUAUCAAACCAUCUACACUUGAAGAGGUGCACUGUCAUGCCUUACCCAUAAACGAGUUCCACCACUGAAUGGAGAACACCGUAAUAGUCAACUCUAUUCCGCCCACCACGCGCCAUCACCCUAGAAUUCUGUGUUCUUCGUCUGCUGUCUCUCUGUUCACAUAUAAAUUGCACGUCAUUCACCUUGCACAUCGGAUAAACUCUUGACAUUAUCGGCUUCAUCGCUAGAAGUCUUAGUUCGUGCGACCAAUUUGGGUGACCAUCAAAUUGAAUAUGGUUCAUCUGCAACCAACCAUUCAACUGUAAAUAUGGAUAAUUAUGUAAUAAACAUAAACACGUACAGAAAUAUUGAAUUACGUACCCAGCAGCCAAAAUAGUUUGCGAACUCCCUGUUGUGGUAAUCGAGAUCACCUUGAAUGUCUGGACAAUUUAGAUUGAUGUCUUUCCAGUAUUCAACUUCUGGACAGUUAAUCAAUACCCACCAAUGGGCAAUGACUAGCUCAUGUGGUUGCAACUUGUAGGAUUCUGGCAAAAUUCCAUAAACUUCAACAUCACUGGAGAGUGUGGAAAGAUUGAACUUCGGUACAUCUAUCGGUAUGGUUUGCGGAGUUUCUUUCAACAUCACUAGAGAGUUUGGAAAGAUUGAACUUCGGUACAUCUACCGGCCGGUAUGGUACGGUACCAAAAUCACCGGCCAUACACUAUAUUGAAGACUCAUGUUGCCAAAAAGGUUGAACCCGUCGGAUGAGAGCCCGAGCCUCACAUUUCGGACCUCUGACGCAAAAUGAGGAAACUCCCUGUCUAUAUGCUUCCAAGCCUCCCCGUCAGCAGGGUGUAUAAGGGUAUCUUCGUCAUGCAAUUCCCUAUCAGCGUGCCAUCUCAUAGCUUCGGCCGUGUGUGAAGACAUGUACAACUAUUCCAGCCUAUCCCUCAACGGGAAAUACCGAAGUACCUUCACAGAUUUCCUAUUGCCUGCAGGAGUUAGCUUAUACUUGUCAGUGUGACAUACCGGACAUGCGUCAAGGCCACCAAGGUCAUUCCCUUCUAGAUCUUUACCCCAGAAGAGAACGCAGUCAUAUCUGCAUGCAUGGAUUUUGAUGUAGGAAAGCCCAAGAUCUUUCAGGAUAUAUCAGACCUUAUGAUGAGUGGUAGGAAGACGAUGACCGUGGGGCAGCAUCGAAGCAGUGUACUGUAGAUAAUCAUCAACAGCCUUCACGGUCGAUUUUGUCUCAACUUUAAUCUUCAUUACGUCCAUCACACUUUCAAGAACGGUCUUCUGACAACCGGGGUACACAGGGGUCUGUUGGAAAGCAAGCAGUUUGUUGUACUUGUCAAUACCAGCAGUGUUGAUAGCUCUAGGGAAGGGCUGCACCGGCUCAGGCAUAUACUGUCCUUGAGCGCAUACACCGCUCUCAUAAGGAAACAUGUCGUUGAUGAAGAUUGUUGUUGGAUCGUUGGAUGUACUGCCCGUCUCAGAAAAUUGGCCAUGAUCAUGCGGACCCCCUGAUGAUGUUUCACCGUGAUAUAACCAACAUGUGUAAUUCUCCCAAAACCCGUUACUCUUCAGGUGCUGCCAUAGUUUGUCAAUCGCAAAUCGAUGCAUAUCGUUGCGACACUGACAUUUCGUGCACGGGCAAUAGAAAAUUGUAUUCCCGUUAACAUUAGCCAGCGCAUAUUCCAGAAAACUCAUAACUCAUUUACCAUAUAUUUUGUCCCAUUUUAGAAGCGAAAUCCAACUCUUAUCCAUAUCCUGAAAAUAUAACAAAAUAUAUAUGUAUAACGCUAGCUAAUUAUUAAUUAAAUUUCAUGCCAUAUAUAAAAUCUCAAUUCAUUUAGUAUAUAUUCUACGUACUACAACUAAUUAAUAACAAAUUAAUUAACACACACAUAUAUAUUUACUUAAUAAUUACAUAACAAUAUUAUAUAUAUCAACAUCAUCACAAAAUCAUCAUCAACUCAUCACAUCAACAACUUCAUACCAUCAACACAAUAUUAUAAAUUAAUUAACAUAUAUAUAUAUAUAUCUGCUACUUAUAUAUAUAUUAACAACAACUUCAUAUAUAUUAUCAAAUCAUCAACCAAAUCGAUCAACAUAUAUAUAUAUAUAUAUAUAUACACAUCCAACGUACUCAAAAUCUAUCAAUUCAAUCACACUCAAAAUCGAUCAACUCAAAUAAAACUCAAAAUCAACAUAUAUACACAUAUAUAUAUACCUAUAUAUAGCUCCACGUGUCAAUUAUGGACAGAUUUCAACAACACCCAAACUUUUUCUCCCAUUUUUCUCCUGUUUUUUUCUCAGAUGAGCUGCAGUCCAGAUCUGCGAAUAUAAAGCACUUUAGCUGACGAAAUUAAAAUUUCGUCGGCUAAAGUAUGGUUAAAGUCGUCGGCUAUAAUCUGUGAAAUUUAGCUGAUGAAAAAAAUUCUUUAGCCGACGAAAAAAUGGUUCGUCGGCUAACGUGAACUUUAGCCGACGAAAAAAUGGUUCGUCGGCCUGGUUUUUUUAUUUUCGUCGGCUAAAGCCUUUCUUCUGGUAGUGUAAGAACAAGGUGAUCCUUUCGUUCUUUAAAUUCUCAGUGGAGAAGAAGCGUAAUUAAAUAGUCAAUAGAGGUCCAUGAUUUUUUAGAGUGUCGUCGAGAUUGAUAACUAAGGAUGUAGUUUACAUGGUCAUAUGGAUGUUGGGUGAGUUUAUUUUCUUGGAUGAGUUGGAAAUUAGUCGUAGUACUCAUGCUCAAGUGCACAUCAGGCAUUUGAUUUGCUUCACAAAGGAUCUUUGAGAUCAACCCGAGGUCAUUACUUUGUUGCAUCUCAAUUAUGAGAAGAUAAUAUGUUUUUGAAAGGUUUGCUGCCUAUUGGAAGAUUUGCCUAGAGGGUGUGAUUGUCUGCUAGCUAGAUCUGCUGGCUUCACAAAAGAAUAACAACGUGGGAGGCUCAAACCCUAACUCUAGAGUUUCGGCAAAUGUAGUUGUACAAAGUUCAAGUAAUUUGUCAAUUAAUCACCAAUGGCUCUAAUGGUGUUUCCCCGACUACUUAGGCACGUUUAAUCUUCCUUUCAGAGGCGGUGAACCCGUUCAACUAUAGUCCUCUUCUCCAUUUCGGGUUCUUCUACUCAAUUGUUAGCAAAUCAGGUUGCAACUUAUAUGUGUGAUGUGUCCUCCAUGUGUUAGAAUGUUAACUCUUGGUGACACGACUGCUAAAGCAUCUAGAUCUGAGGCCAUGAUUGUCCAUGGAUGUCUUGGAAGAGGAAGAAUGUCCCAAAGUCGGUUACCUACUCCAAGCAGUCGAAGAUACCGUAAGUCAUUGAAUUAGUCAAAAUGGAUUUUAAGCCUUCCUUGACUUUUUUUUCUCAAACUGUGACCAUUGUGGUGUCUCUUCUGAAAAAUGGUAGACUUGGUAAGCCAAAAGGCCGCAAGUACCAGCCUAAAGCUGUCGACAUGGUGAAGAUGGACAAGUUGCCUAAGAAGGUUAGGAAAUGAAAAGUCGAAGCUUGCGCCAUCAAUUAAGGCUUCGGCCUCUGAGGCUUCUCCCAAUGUUUCUACGGAUAACCUCUAUACAUAGGGUGGUUCAAAACUAAAUGAAUAACUUAAGUGUGGUCUUUGUUAUUGGGAUUUCGCUUUUUGUGUCACAUUCCGACCCUUUAAUUUUUACUUUAUUUACUAGCUUGAUUAUAAUAAGAAUUUUACCGUCUCAGUCAAUGAAGUUAUAGUUUAAUUGGUCCCUAAAGGGGUUUGGGGGACGAGUAUUUUUCGGAGGAUUAUUCAUAAGAGAAAAAUAUGACGACGGUAAAAAUGGUAAAUUUUUAACUAGUAAAAGGUAAUUUUUAUUAGGGUAUUUUGUUUUGAGGUGUUAAAUUGGUGGAGUUGGGUAAUACUUGUCGUGUUGGGCCGGGUUGGUGAGUGAGGCCCAAACCCCAUUUUUAUUUCCUCUUUUUCUUCUCUUCUUCUCCUCUUUUUCUUCUUCACUCUUUUCUUUUCCUUCCACUCCCGAGCUCUCUCUCUUCCUCUGCCGGAAUCCACCGUUCGCCGCUGUCGUCCGGCCAAGCAGGGACGCCUCACCACUCCAGCACGGUCCGUCGUCCUCCCCGCCGCCUUCCUAGGCUGGUGAGCGGCGCUGCAACCCCGCCAAGCGGAGGAAGUCCUCCUUGGACGCCGUUGGUCUUCUCGCCGGAGCUCCCUCCUCCGGCCACCAAUCCGGGCAAGCUAUAUAUGGUUUUGAAGGUCUCCAACCCAGCUACCUUGCCCUAAAAGGACUCACUCCGGUUCGCUUCAGGUAAGGAGAAAUUUGAGUUGGAAGUUCUAGGGCGUUUUUGAUAUUUCUGUUCGAUUGGUAUAGCUAGGCUUGGAUUUUGGGUUUGUGCUAGUUAGGAAAGUUGUAGAGGGAGUGGAGAGGAAGCUACUGUUAAAAUUUGGUAGGAAUUAGAGGUCGCCGAAAUCGGCCUCCGGCUGCCGCUGUUGGCGGAGCUGGCGCCAGCGCCGGCGCCGGUUGAGAGAUUUUAAUGUUUUUAAAUUUGGAAUAUUAAAGGGAAUUUAUUGAAGUGAGUUAUAGAAUUUUUGGAUGAGUUUUGGAUAGGUUUAUGAAUUUCCGAAGUGUGGUAUUUUUGGCGGUUAAUUAAUGUAGAAUUCGGCCGUUGGAUUAAAGUUGUUUAAACUGUGGGACGGUGUAGUUACGGCUGCUGGUUCUAGGGUUGAAAUGUGGACCACUUCGAAGUUAGGCAAUGUUGAGCGUGAUAAUGACUCUCGGUUAAUUUUUGCCUAUUUUGUGUAAAUAUUGGAAUUUCGGCUGGGAAAUUAAUAUUAUAUUUGGAACAGGUCGUGAGGAGGCUCGAGCAGACGAGGCCCCAGAUCGAUAUCAGGCUUAGGCCUAAUUUGUGAGUGGACUUUUGUUUUAAAUAAUGUGCAUGCGAAAUAAUUUAUGUUGUUGGAGAAUAACCGAAAUUGAGAAUUUCGGUGAGUGUAUAUAUAUAUAUAGAUGAUUAUGAGAAUAAUAUGUAUAUGAAGGAAUGCUAGCUAGCUAUACGUGCUUUUCCACCAUACUGAGGUAAAAUUCCAUUAUGGUGCGACGUGAGCGUUAGACGCAAUCGUCGUAGCCCUAUAUAAAUAUAAUAAUUUAUAUAGGGGAUAUGCGCGUAUAUAUUUAUACACCGUCUUUUCCACCAUCAUGAGGUAAAAUGCCAUUAUGGUGUGACGUGAGCGUUAAACGCAAGCGUCGUAGCCUUGUGUGAAUUUUGUAUUUGUCUUUGUUGUUUCAAGAAAAUUCAUACAAGGGAUAUGACGAGUGUAAUACAUACAUAUUUUAUUUUAGCCUGAGAGGCUCUUAUGUUUGAAGUGUUGGUGACUAGCGCGGCUAGUCAGGUGUUGGUAAAUUCGGUAAAUUUUUUUAAAGCUUUUGAGUUUGUUGCAUGCCAUUAAUUGUUUUUCCACUGAAGUUUAAAUUGGGAAAGCAUAAAUAAUUAUUUCUUUUAAUUUAUUUUUGUCCACUCACUCUAACGUGUUUCAAAUGUCUACUCCUGGGCCCUUCGUUUUAAAAUGCCCAGUCUGCAGAGUACGGGUUGGACCUAGUAGGAGACGAGGCAUAGUCACCCGCAUUUCCACCACUUUUCAUCCGUAGGUUACCUGUUUAACCUACCUGUGAUUUCUUACUUCCGCUAGUGUCUAGUAGCUCUAAAUACUUGGGUUUAAUAUAUAUUAUUUCGGUUGUGGGCGAAGGCUUGUUGUCAUUUUAGAAUAUUUGUCGGAUGAUUUAUGUUAUCUUAUUUGGAUAAUUAUGUGUUGAUUUGGAAGAUGUUCUAUUAUUUUUGUUAUUUGUGGUGGUUGUAUUUGGGGAGCACGUAGGCUCUAGAAGUUAAGGUUGGAUUGAGAAUUUUAGAAGUGUUUGCAGGUUUUCUUUAGAAAGGGUUGUCCAUUUUCAAGGGAGAUUAUGUCGAAUUUUCGGUAAUAUCUUUCUUGGAGGUGGUCCCCGCAGGAUUUACUCCGGGUUUUAGGGUAAAAUUUGGGGUGGGUCUUGUCACAUUGGUUACUUUGUAUUUACUAUCCAAUCUUGUUUACUUAGAAUACUGAUUAUCUAGUUUUUAGCAAUAAUUCGAUUUGGAUGGUCCUGCAUAUCAUGGGCUAUUGUGUAAUGUUGGCCUAACCCCUAUUUUUUUUAUAUCGAACAGGUCAAAUAGUUUAAUAGAUCAGCAAGCAAUACAAAAACAAAAUGCCCCGUAACUGUCGUCAAUAAGUAAUUUUUUGCAGAACCCAAAACUAGUACUAGCUAUAGUCUAUCUAGUACUAGCUACAAGCUCAUAAUACAUGAAGGUAUAAGGAUAGUUGGCAAUCCUUUCAUCCUGCAAAACACUUUGAGAUAAUGUUAUCUGAUCAAGAACAAGUGGCGCUAAUAUCCCUUAUGGUUUCAGGUAAAACAUGCAUCUGCAUAUCAUUGUUUUUCACAGUAGUACUGAGUCUUCUGCUGUUCUGAGGUUCAAAGUCUGUUAUAUUAGUUUAAUAUAAAAUGGACAACUGAGUUUGUGGGAAGUGCCUUAGCGCUCAAACCAGUCAAAGGGUUGAGAUCUUUUGUUAUGCCAACCUGUGACCAAAUGGUUUGAUGCUCAAGGCUCCAGCUGGGAUUUCAUGAUACGUUAUCCGAUGUAUAAGCUGGUCCCUGUAUGGUUCAAAGACCAGUUGCUAUCAGCUGUGUCAAGGUCCACUAAUGGACUGAGUAAGAGGGUUUGAAACCUCUUUGCUCCCUGUUUGAAUCAUCCAUGUUUUAGGAAAGGGUUAUUUGUCUUAUUGAGAUUGCUUGUGUCAUCUCUGUGUUUGGACACAUCACUUUCAGUAUGGGAGCCAAACACUUCUGUCCAAAUCUUUCUGAAACAUGUUGAGGUCAGCUUGCAUCAUCCUUGAUGUCAUUGUUGGCCUAUAUAUAUCUACAGCUUUAGCUUUGCUCAAUGGUUGUGGAAAACUGCCUUAUUGCGUUUUCUUUGUUGAGUCUAGUUUUUAGCUUGCAUUGUUCAUGCUGCUCUAAGUCUUCUUCGUGACUGUAAACCUUAGAGCUUGAACUCAAAACUUCUUUCAUCAACUCAUAUCAUGUUGCAUACCAUGAGGGAUGUGUAGUGCAACCAACCCAAGAAGCGUUCAAGGUUGAAUCUGCUAGUGGUUAGCUGAAUUCACGAACAAGGCUUCGAAAAAUGUCCCAUGUUGUAAGAACUUAGAAACAAGAGAGGGAAUAGGUCUAGACUAGUUCGGGACUAGGAAGGAUAGCACUGUGGUAGUGUAUCACUAGAACUAUUAUUCUUGUAAGAAGUUACUUCAACUUAGUGGAAGUUUUUGUCUCUCAAGAGUUAGAGACACGCAGUUUUUCUCCCUGCAUUCAGGGUUUCUGCGAGUAAAAAACAUCCUUGUGUUGUUUGUUUAUUUGCUGCAAUUUACUUUCUGCAAACUCGUAUCCUGUGAUUCUGGGAUAGCACAAGUCAUUGCUAUCCUCGGAUACAGAAGGCAACGAAAAUUUCAAAAAGGCCUAUUACCCCCCCUCUAGGACCUUUAAUACACCCACCUUAUAGAUAAGCUCAAUUAUUCAACGAGAAAGCUAGCUUCAUAGAUAAGCAUCAAGACCUGUAAAGAUAUUAGCUAACUCGAACCAAACAAAAAUAAAAAAGGGCCGAAAGGAUAAAUAAGCUCAAAUGACAUUUACAUUGGCCCAAUAGGCUCAAACAAAGCCCAACAACUAGGGUUAAUCUGACGAGCCAAAAAGGCCCAAACAUCUUCGACAACAGCAACUCCUUCGCCAACAAUACCUACAUCGUCGACCGCAUAGACUGAUAGACCCCAUCACUACUUCGAUCUCUACUGCUCUCACCUUGAUAGCAGAAAGAAGGAAAUAGCCAAAAAAAUUCCCAUAUACGAGGGCUGAAUCACAUACUUCUAGCCACCGUCAAGCAAGCCAUCACCACCGGGUACUAGGGACGGAUGCAUGUAGAGCGUAGAGGCACUUGCCUAGACUGGGUUUUAUGAACUUAUUUACUAUAUAAAUUGCAUAGGUUGGGAGUAGUCAAGUAUGUAAAAAUGACAAAAAUAGGGUAAACCAUGUGAACCAUGUGAAUUUGAGAAAAGGACGAGUUGCUCCACGUGUUUUCACUACAACAAUAUGGACGUUGUGUGGCCUUUAGAGGUGUUGCAUGUUCCCAUAAGUGUGACAAAUAAGGAUAUUAGCGGAGUAUGAAAGGGAAAUAUCACACAUGUGUGCUACAAGAUACGAUAUGUGGCCUUUGCUCCAUAUUGUUGUAGUGAUUUUUUUUUCUUUAUAUGAUAGCAACUGAUACGAUAACAUUUGAUCUAUUCAUUUAGUUGUUCUGAUGGGCUUAAAUGAUGUUGUUUACUAGGAAUCAUGCCAGUAAGUUUUCUUCUUUGUUGUAUGUGUCGUUGAUGCUAGAACCCUUGAUAUGAUGCUUUGAUUCCUAGACUCCUACAUAUCAUUUGUUGACAUUAUUUGCAUUUUAAUUUCUUUUUUUACGUAUAUCUUACUGCUUAGUUUAAGUCUUGUCUUAGCUGAGAAAUUUCUCUCCAUAUUGAUACAUAUGAUAUGAUACGAUAUUUUUGUUCCUCCAAUGUGAUGGAGAAUGCAGAUGCGAGAAGGAAACAGAACCUUCAACCCUUUAGGGGAAUUUCUGGAUCCGCCACUGCCUGGUACUACGGCCUUCGGCAUCGUCUCCCAUCCAAAUCGAUCCCAGAUCCAAUUCUCCACAAGUGUUCCAGUGUCACCAUCAACCUCCCUAACUAAAGCAAAAGGAAAACCGUUGAAGCUUGAGAUCCCCCUCUCAAUCAAAGAUGCAAGGCCACUGCCAGUAAAAACUCGCCGCCACUAAGAAACCUCUCACCAUGAGAGGCAAGAGAGAGCAUGUCUUCACUAAUAUCUUUAUUUGAGAAUGAUCUUCACUAAUAUCUUGAAUUCAAAAGAUAACCUAAAACUUUAGACCUAGUCAGAGUCGUCGAUCAGAAAGAAACAAGGACCAUGAACAUUAAAAGUAUCUAAUGGAGGGGAACAAAUCGGACUCUGUUGCCAACCCCAAAUACCAUCAUCAUGAAUUAUUCAUGAUGAAGGGUCGAUUAUAUAUUAAUCACAAUGUACCAAUCUAACGUACGUUAUAUUACUGCACAUUUUCAUGUUUAAAGGCAAUCUGGUUAUUGGUAGGCUUACGUACGUGCAUUAUACACACAUGUUUGAAUAUUUAUGGACUUGAAGGCAAAGUUCGAAGUGUGUGUGGAGACUGGAGAGUCGGAUAUUGAAGUAUAAUCAACCCAACACCAGGAACAUAUAUUGAUACACAUGCAAGUGAAAGUGAGAUGAGAUCAAUACAGUAGCUAGGUUGCACCUAUUUCAUACUUCACUUUCAAGUCUCAACAAACACAAACUAGAAUAUCAUUCGUAUCAAAAAAAAACAAACAAACUAGAAUAUCAUUGAUUAAUUAAUAAUUGCUGCUUUAAUUUCCAUGCAAUGGCAGCAAUGCAAAUAUUUUGAUAUAGAACCUCAUUGAAGAAAGAAAAACUCACUAUUUUGAUAUCUAUGCUUAUCCUUUUAGGUCUUUGAUAAGAUACGGUGGAAGUAGUAGUGCUUCUUGCACUUUCAAAAGAGCAUCGAUCACAAUCAAAUUAACUAUUACAUAGUUGUUUGUACCCUAAGCCAAAAUUUGAUUGCGUAGGUGAGAUACUCGUAUCAUUAGUUGAUGGAAAUUAAUUUUGGAGAUGGAUGAUGUUUUAAGGAAUGAAUUUUUAGGUUGAGGCGUGUGGUUCACUGCCCUUAAGAGUAGAUGUCUGUCUUUCGAAGAUUGUAUCUCGGUGUAGCAAGUAUUGACGACCUACCCUCUAGGGCUCCAGGGUACAACAACCUCGAUUCUAGUAAGUGUACACUCACAAUAUUAGGAUCGUAUCGAACAUCUUGAUUUACCUUUCUUUGGUGGAAUAGAAUAGGAAACAAGAAGAUGAUAAUCGUUGCUGUGUAGAUCGAAAUGGACACCUAGAGCUUAUAUAGGGAAGAAAUGAUCAAUGUAAUUAGCAAUUAAAAGCUGAAAACGGUAAGUAACUUAAUAGAAAUGAUUUCAUAGCAAAUAAGUAAACUGGGGUAUAAUUGCAAUGUAAUUGCAAUAUUAUGAACGUUAGGAAGAUCGCAAACGGAGGAAGACUACAAACUUGUGGCAUAAUGGCAACCACAAUUAAUGAGAUUAAUAUCCAUGUCAAACGUUUCAGAACGAAAGUUUCUAUCAUAACUACGUAUUUUGAAAUAUUUGAAUGAAAUUCCAAUAUUAGUGAGUGUCAAACAUCUCUUACUUCGUUUUGAAAAUAAUUAUGGUCUUAUCUUCAGGCUUUAUCUUACUCUGAUCAUCUUUUAGAGGGUUCUAAAAGACUGCUUCCACAACAUGAGUCAUCCCAAUCGAUGCAUUGACAGUCCCACUCUGAUUGAUUAAUCUUGCACAGCGCAUUUCCAUAACAACCGGCUUAGCUUAUGUUAGUUAGGUUUCACAAUCACACCAAGCAAGUGAUCAUGACAUGAUAGAGUUGGUUGCACAUGGAAUUCUGUAAUUGGCAGCAGCAUACAAAGUGCUCUCCAUGUUUACAAAAUACAUGCACGCCAAAACGUCCAGUUCCACUCAUUUGAAGAAAAAAAACAGCUUACUCAUUUCGGGGUCCUACUUCAAAGCUUCCAAUUGACUUGAAACACUAUCUUACAAUAAUUGAAGCAACACACCGACACUACCAUAACUUAUAAUAUAAAUUAAGCAGACCCAGGUUGAAAUAGUUAUGCUUAUUUCCAAAGACGAACUUCACAAAAUCCGAAUGGUUUGGAACGUUGGAUUAUCAAAAUUUGAAGUAAAAAGGAAUCAAUAUAUAUACUGCAAAGGUCAUUGAACGAGAAAAUUGGGAACUUAAAAAUGAUCUAUUUCUUAUCUAUGAUCAUUUUAUAAACUUAAUUUGCUACUCAUGACAAAUUGAUUAAUAUAUAUAUUCUUCAACAAAAUGAUAAUGAAAAUUAGCAAGAACUAAUUUUAAAAAACCUUUUUCACUUACAAAAGAAUUUAUACUUGGUAGUACAAGAUUGACUUUUGCACAAUGUAACAUGGUUGCACAUGGAAAAUUCCUGCUAUGCUGGUUUACAGAGUAACAAGCAUUAUGUGUGCCCAUUCCCUCAUCCCACCAAACUAACACCCAAAAUGUUAUAUAAAUAUAUAUUGACCAAAAUACCAAAAUGUUUCAUAAGUUUAAUGAAUAACAAAGCAAGAAGUAACGAAAAAUUCUAAAAUGUGUUAAUGCAUGUGAAUGAUGUGAUGCAUCAACUUUGUAAAUUGAGUUCUCAAAACUAGUAAUAUUAGUCCUCGGAGUUAUAAUAUGAGUCCUUAAAGUUGUAAAAAAAAUUGUUACAACAUUAGUCAUCAUGUGUGCUUAAAGUAGUAAUUGAGUCCACAAAUGUGUUAAUGCAUGUGAAUGAUGUGAUGCAUCAACUUUGUAAAUUGAGUCCUCAAACUAGUAAUAUUAGUCCUCGGAGUUGUAAUAUGAGUCCUUAAAAUUGUAAAAAAAAUUUGUUACAACAUUAGUCAUCAUGUGUGCUUAAAGUAGUAAUUGAGUCCACAAAGUGAUUAAAAAAAAAGUUACAACUUUGAGGACUCAUAUUACAACUUUAAGGACUCAAUUACUACUUCAAGGACAAAUGAAGACUAAUGUUGUAACUAAUUUUUUGUUACAAUUUUAAGAUUUAAGGACUCAUAUUACAACUUUAAGGAUUAUUAUUACUACGUACUUUGAGGACUUAUUUACAACUUGAGAGCAAAAUUGAUGUAUCACAUAUAUUAACACACCCUAACCAUUCUGGGUAACCCUAAAUUUUAACAAAAAAAUAUUAUCAAAUAGGUACGUGUUUAAGAAUCGUUUUUCAUUUUACUUUGGAUCUCACUACUGUAUUCGACACCGGCCUAUACCUAUACACAAAUUAGACAUAAAAAUUAAAAGAGAAAAUAAUGUGUCUACGUACCAAAUUUUAAAUCGAUUGUCAGUAUCGAAAUAAGUGUUAACACAAGUAAUAGUUCUGUGUUAACUUAGGUAUUCCGUAUUUUAUUACCAGUAUUCCGUAUUUUAUUACCAGAUUUCUUACGUAAGUUCUCGCAAACUACAACAUGUUAUGCUGUUGAUCUAUGAGCCAAGCGUUUUAAAUAACUAUGAAGUACAAUAUUCACAAAUUGACAACUUGCUAAUCAUGCCUAAUACAAAAUCAUUAUGUCAAUCACCAAACCUUUUCUUCCACUGAAAAAAAAAAAAGAAAAAAAAAGACAUAAUAUACUCACAAGAAUAUCAAAAGAAAAUGAAUAUUACAAAUCCUUUAAAAAAAUAAAAACAAAAAUAUAUCACACA
rnacentral:lncRNA from 1 species